rnacentral:tRNA from 1 species
GGAGAGAUGGCUGAGCGGUCGAAAGCGGCGGUCUUGAAAACCGUUAGGGGGCCUGUCCUCCUCGGGGGUUCGAAUCCCUCUCUCUCCGCCA